rnacentral:rRNA from 1 species
AUUGAACGCUGGCGGCAGGCCUAACACAUGCAAGUCGAGCGAGCGGCGGACGGGGGAGUAAUGUCUGGGAAACUGCCUGAUGGAGGGGGGUAAAUACUGGACACGGUAGCUCAUACCGCAUCCAAUCUGAUGUGCCCCGAUGGGAGUAGCUAGUAGGUGGGGUAAUGGCUCACCUAGGCGACGAUCCCUAGCUGGUCUGAGAGGAUGACCAGCCACACUGGAACUGAGACACGGUCCAGACUCCUACGGGAGGCAGCAGUGGGGAAUAUUGCACAAUGGGCGCAAGCCUGAUGCAGCCAUGCCGCGUGUAUGAAGAAGGCCUUCGGGUUGUAAAGUACUUUCAGCGAGGAGGCGUUACUCGCAGAAGAAGCACCGGCUAACUCCGUGCCAGCAGCCGCGGUAAUAC